AUGGGAAAGUGGGCUGGGAGAGAAUGGAAGAGCUCAGCCGAGCAUCACGCUCGCGAUAAGAGCAGCUCUAGUCUUGUCAUCGGGUUCACAGCUUCGCUAAGUCGACACGAUCCGUGGUCAAUAGAGCCGGUAGCGGUGUCAAACUCUCCGCGUCAGCCGAGGUGUUUGGUUAAAGAUAAAUUGGCAGGGAUGUGCUCGCCCUUGACAGGUUAUACAUCAGAACAAAGGAAAACAACGCAAUUGUCACCAGUCUCUUCAAAAGGCCAUUUUGAGCAUCAAUCUUGUUUUCAUUUUCUCUUUUUUUUUCUAGUCGACACGAUCCGUGGUCAAUAGAGCCGGUAGCGGUGUCAAACUCUCCGCGUCAGCCGAGGUGUUUGGUUAAAGAUAAAUUGGCAGGGAUGUGCUCGCCCUUGACAGGUUAUACAUCACACCGAUGCAUUUCCUCUUAAAGUUGGAUGAACACAGCGGCAGAGAGACAGCUGAGUACAUCAGUAAAUACAGCGGAGAUAGAUGCACCUUAAAACCUGGAUUCACUGUGCAAUUAAAUCUGAAAUCAAACCACAUUAAGAUAUCUAGAAAUGUGAUGGAGAUGUUUUGUUUUAGCUAAUUGAACAAGCAAUUUAUUGUAGAUAAAACUGCAGUUUACAAACAACGACUCUUCAUACACCCUGGAUGAGAGCUGUUUCAGAUGAGAGCUUCAUUCAAAUUGGGCUGAAAAUGACCAGAUAGUGCAGUGUGUGGGGAUGGAAACAUAAUUUCUAUGAUCCACAAGGGGAGCAUUAAAGUGCUACUAUUAUGCAAUUUUUAAGGUUCCUGAUGUUGUUUUGGGAGUCUCCUACAACAGGUUUGAAUGCAUGCAAGGACAAAAUAAAAAGCUUUUGUUUUCUCAAAAUAUGCACGUAAUAUCACCUCAUUUUCCAACGAUUCUCAAACAAUUCGUUAGAAGCAGUUCUGAGAUUCUCUCUAAAGCACUCCUUUACUUGAGGGUACUCUGCUCUGAUUGGUCAGAAGACCCAGUCUUGUCAGAAACGAAACGCCUAUUGCCGUAUUUUGAAUGCUGGAUAGAAAAUAUAAACAUCUAUUAUUUACCAUACUUGCAGGCUGUGAUUCAGUGGAGCCAGCUGUCCAAAUAAACUGGCAAAUGUGCACUGAUUUUUUUUUUCAUUCAUCCAAUUAAAAAAUAAUAAAAAUAAAAUAGGGUAAUGAUUCACAUUUAACUUGAGCCAAUAAAAAAAUAUAUCACUUGCUCUUAGGGCAAUUAUUAUUAUUAUUAUUUAUUUAUUUUUUUUCCAUUGGCUCAAGUUAUAAUAUAGAUGUGAAUCAUUACCCUAAUUUUUGUUUAUUUGGAUGAAUGAAACUUUUUUUUUUUUCUAGUGCACAUUUGUCCAGUUUAAUUUUGACCAGCUGGCUCCACUGUAAUUUUUUUCUAGUGCGUUUAGGCUGUUCAUAAUCGAUUCUUUCUUUUGGGAGACAAUAACUUUAUUUAUAGUACACCUUUGGCUUCACAUAAAGCUACAUUACACAUUGCAUGAAAGGCUAUAUUUGAAAUGGCAAAAUAGGGGCACUUUACAAAAAAAAAAAGCUUUUGCAUUUUGCAUUUUAGGGCUGUCAAAGUUAGUAUAUUCAUGAAAUAUGUUUGUUUUGUUCCCCUCCCCCCCCCAAAAAAAAAUAAAAAAAAAUAAAAAACUAAAAUAAAAAAAAUAUAUCACUUGCUCUUAGGGCAAUUAUUAUUAUUAUUAUUUAUUUAUUUUUUUUUCCAUUGGCUCAAGUUAUAAUAUAGAUGUGAAUCAUUACCCUAAUUUUUGUUUAUUUGGAUGAAUGAAACUUUUUUUUUUUUCAGUGCACAUUUGCCAGUUUAUUUGACCAGCUGGCUCCACUGAAUUUUUUUCAGUGUGUUACUUCGUGAUGUGGAGCUGUCAAGGAAGUGGGAUUCGAAUUACUGAUGACUCGUUUAGGCUGUUCAUAAUCGAUUCUUUCUUUUGGGAGACAAUAACUUUAUUUAUAGUACACCUUUGGCUUCACAUAAAGCUACAUUACACAUUGCAUGAAAGGCUAUAUUUGAAAUGGCAAAAAUAAGGGGCGACUUUACUAAAAAAAAAAAAAAAUGAAAUAUAGUUACGUUUUAGUUACCCACCCCCCCCCAAAAAAAACUAAAAAAAAAUAAAAAAAUAAAAUAAAAAUAAGUGAGUGCGCUACUGCAGGAAUACAGAAGAGAUGAGAGACCAUGUGCUCUUAUGCCUAGAAAAUCCUUCAGCUGGUCAAUGAACCUGGAGAAACCUCAAAACCUUGAGAACUGAAGUGAAGAGGAAAUGCAGUUCAGCUCAUGUAAGUGUUAUCAAACCACGCUGACACCUCAACAUCAUCACCUCCAUUCAAAAAUAGCCCACGUCUACACAUAACAAGGAUGCGACCGAAUGGGAAAAUUGCAAGACUGUAAGUGAGAAAUAAAUAGAAAGAGGGAAGAGACUGACGAACAACAGCCCAUUUAUAUGAGAUUUGAUCAGAUGUUGUCUGCCGCUAUACUGCUGGCAUCAUUCCAUCUGAUAAACCAGCUCCUCCAAUCCCUCUCUCUCUGUACUUUCAGUCACUGUCUCACCACUUGAAAAAUGGUGGAACUGCAAAGGAUCAAUAUUUUCCUUCAUGUCCUUCUUUCAUGCUACACUUCCUAAAAAGGUUGUUAAUUUAUUAAAUCUUAGUGAGAACAUGAUUCUUUAUCAGUGUGUUUAAGACACUGUUUAAAACUUUUUAAUUCUCUUCAUUGAUUUUGUAGGUGCCUCAAACUUUUGUCAGCGGGUAGUUUAAAGUCCUGGCACUGCCAAACAAAACAAAUGCAUAUUUGUUUUAAUAAACUGAUCAUAUAUCAAUCAUAAAAAGACGUUAAGGAUGAAACAGUUCAACCUAAAGAGUUUUGCAUUUGAAAACAAAAUGCAGAAUAUUAUUAUUGCUGGAAUAUAUAUAGCAGCAGAAGGGCUUUAAACCAGCAGCAGGAAAGCGGUUCUCAACACUUAGCCGUAGAUGAGGACUCAUCCCUCAGUGGGACAUCAGGACUAAACCCUUAGCGGUAGAUGAAUACUAAGGGAUCUGUCCUAAAUUCAGCCCAGUUGGGGCCUCAGUCUGUCAGGAGUUUGAGUCCAGCUUUAACCAUGUCACAGACAGCAGAGUCAUGACCCACAUACAUCUGAUGAUGUGGGACGUUAUCAGAGCCCCGGAGGAGAGGAAGGAGCCCAGGGAUCCAACUGGGAGCAAGGUGUAAAUUCACAUCUGCUCAGGAAACAGGGAAGGCGAGAAUGAAGAUGGUGUCUGGUGUUCUUGUGUGUUCUCUGAAUGAUAGCAGGAGAGGAGGGCUGUUAAGCAGCUAAUGAGAACAUCGAUAGGCACUGGUUAGCUUGUGGCUGGCUUGGGGUUUCUGAUGUGUUUAGGCAGAGUGAAUGAGGAUUAUGUAUCACAGAACUUGUUUGAGUUUAUAGAAAAAUAUGGACGGCCAGAAACACCUGUUAGUAUUUCACUGAGUUAUGAUUGGCACACUCGCUCCUUCUGACGCAAUACUGGAAACUAGACAUUUUUCAUUAAAAGUAAACAACCUGCAGACAGUUUGUCAGUAUAAACCCCCCUUUUAAACCAUUUAAUGUAGUCCAGUGAUUAGUCCUUACAUUUAAUUAAAUGUAAUGUGGGAUGCACUCAUAUUAAAAAUCCAGUCGAUACUAUAAUCUGAUCAUUUUUACAUUAUGGUCAAUAACUGACAAAUUGCAGAAAUUAAAGUUCUACACUAUUUCAUCUAAAUUAUCACAAAAACUAAAGACUAAAAUUUGUUGUUUUAUAUGUUAAAUAAUGUGAAAUAAUAAAUUAUUUCAAUCAGCUAAUAAAAUUUUCUAAUAUAAAAACAUCUAACUACCUAAAAAUUUAAAUCAGCCAAUAACUGAUAUGGUACCAAUAUAUGCCUCUUCAAAAUAAUGCAAAAUGACCUACUUCAACCUAAGUCAACAUAAUGAAGUUAUGAGGUAAAAAAAAUAAAAAUAAUCUAAUUACCUCAAAUUAAUAUAAGCCGAUAAUGCAUCCCUAAAAAAAAAAAUAAAUUACCAACCUCAACCUAAGUCAACAUAAUGAAGUUAUAAGAAUAAAAAAAAAAAAAAACCUAACUCAUUCAUCUCUUAUUAUCUAAUAUCUAGACAUUCAUCAGCCAAUACUCUCAGCCUCAGACAUCACACCCACAGACCGUUGCAUAAGUUCUUCUAUGGCCGGACAAAUAAUAUCUAAACAUCUAAUUAUCACACAUUAAUAAACUGCAGGAUUGUGGUGUCCAUUGAACUGCUGAUCUUCACUGUUAGCUACAAAGGUUUACAGAGAGUCUGAACAUCAGAACAUUUACCAUAAUACAUAUGAGCUGUAUGAAGCAGCCGGAGAACCUCAGGCUUUAGGACUGCGGGGGUUUGUGGAUGAGAGCAUCUGUCUAUACAUCCUCUUCCCCGUCCAGGCAGAGGGGAUUGUGGGAGAGAUUCUCACUAGCUCUCUGCAGUGUUUAAACAGAUGGGCCCUCCAGCUCCAAGAGAUACUCUCUCUCUCUCUCUCUCUCUCUCUCUCUCUCUCUCUCUCUCUCUCUCUCUCUGUGUCUAACACAGAUGCACAGAUACUCUCUCUCUCUCUCUGGCAGGGAGGAGAGGAAAGGAUGCCCUCAGAAAUACAAGAAUAAGUUCAGUGUUGUUGGAUAAUGCAGUUGGGUAAACAUGAUGUCCCUUGGCUACCCUCAAGCUCUCUGAGAGCCAAUAAACUACAGACACCUCUGCGCUACUACAGCACUUAAGACAGAGCAUGCAUUGUGCCAAACGUACUUAACACCUACAUGCUAUAUUUUUCCAUUGUCUUUUACCCAUUUUCUCUGACUCAGCAGCUCAUUGGAUUCAUAACAGCGCUACAUGCACGCAUUUGUGUGUCGGGAAUAAUGUCGGAGAGGGAAAAGAGCGGAAUAGCACACAGUCAGCGCUAGUGCUCUGAUUAGAAGGAGGAUCUGAAACUCUGUUGGCUUGACAGGCUGCUUGUAGGACUGCAGCUGUGCGCAUUCGGCUCUCACCACACCUGAAUGAUUACAGCGAGGUUGCUUUAAACACACAGACACUCACACACACACAUUCUUUGAGAAGCUGUCUCUUUCUUUGCUCUCUCAUCUAACACAACCAUGGCCAAAAAAUAAAACGCAUGCAGUUAGAGACUCAGGCUGAGGCUAUUAGAGGGAAGGUAAAGCUUGAACAAUGACAAGAGCUCAUCAAAUUCAUGACAUUAUCA
rnacentral:lncRNA from 1 species